rnacentral:lncRNA from 1 species
UUAUUUUUGUAUAGGAUUAAGGUGUUUUAGCAAUGGGGAAGGUUUGCAAAGAGUUUUGUGUUGAUUUCAUGGGACUUCUCAUGGUAAUGGUUAUUGCUCUCACUCUCAUUCUCAUUUGCUCUUCUCCUCGGAGGCGAGUUGUGAUGUGUCGCUUUCCUUAACAACGCUUAGAAUCUAUUGUCAUAAACAACCUCUUCCUUUGCGGGUAAAGUGGCAUAUAUCUAUCAUUUUCAGAUGCUAUUGGUCGGAGCCUCGUAUAUUAUGGCUCUUUAUGGAGUUUUAUGUGCAUAAACCAAAUGUUGAUUCCUCCUAUUUUCACACUCUUGUGUGGUUUUUAUGUUGUGUAAACCAUAUUAGUAGAAAGGAAAUAAAGCUUUAACCUUUUCUUUUGGUGUUUGUCUUGCAUCUCUUAUUAUGAAGGGAUUCAAAUGUCCAAAAAUAGGUCUCUCUAAAUAUUUAAUUGCCCAAUUGCGCAUACUAUAAUGUACAAC